GCCAGGAACAGGAAGAAAAAGACGAUCUUACAAUUGCAGGAAUGAGAAUACGAAGGAAAGCCUAAGUGCUAAUAAUGUCCCCUCAAGCACUCGGAAAGACUUAGCUUCGUGUUUUCCUGAUGCUUCUCAUUCCUAUGGUUGUAAGGUUAUCCUUCCUAUUCCCUUGGGCU
rnacentral:pre_miRNA from 1 species